rnacentral:rRNA from 1 species
AGAAUGAACGCUGGCGGCGUGCUUUACACAUGCAAGUUGAGCGAGGCCACCCGCAAGGGUGAGUCGAGCGGCGAACGGGUGAGUAACGCGUGGAUAACCUGCCCUGAAGUGGGGAAUAACCCGGGGAAACUCGGGCUAAUACCGCAUGAUACCGAGAGGUCAAAGAGGGCUCGCAAGAGCUCUUGCUACAGGAGGGGUCCGCGUUCGAUUAGCUAGUUGGUAGGGUAAUGGCCUACCAAGGCGACGAUCGAUAGCCGGCCUGAGAGGGUGAUCGGCCACA